AACUGGUCCAUCAGGACUCUGCUCCCAUUGCUGUUAUGCUUCAGAAGCUGAAUAUAUGGACAGCUUCUCAGAAUGUCAAAUCUCAAAGAUGCUAUGUUUCGGACCGGCCCCAGAUUUAGUCCCUUGGUCUAUUAAACCUUAUAAUGCCUACCUCUUUCUCUCAGUUAGUCUCCAGAGUGUUACUAGAUUCCUUUGCAUACUGAUGUUCCAGACUAGCAUGACUAUGUCAGUCUUUGAAUUCUAGUGCAAAGAAUACUUAUCUAAAUACAAGUGAAGAUCAUCAGAAUAUUAAUGAUUAUGGAAAAUAUAAUUGUGAAACAUUAAGAUAUUUUAUGCAUUACAUAUUUUAGCUCAUUAUAUGCUUGUGGUGAAAGCUAAUUUUAAACCUUUUUGUCAAGUGCCAGCUUUUCCUCAAUUUGCUAUUGUUUUUCCCACCAUUUACUACUUUUCAGCAAUCAGAAUUUUAAAUGUGAAGAACAUCCCACAAAGUGUACCAAAACAGCACUAGCAGAAGACCUGCUUAUUAUAUAACCCAAUCUAGCCAAGUACUGAAGCACUUGGAGACUCCACUCUGCAAUAUGUCUGGACUUCUACUGGCUGGUUAAAUGAACACGAGAGUAUCUUCUUCUACCAAAGUUACAGCAAAAUAAAUUUCUUAGGAGAAGAAAGUCCCAUAACAUUUUGCACCAAGAAUAUGUACCUCUGAAUCAGGCAAAGAAAAUCAUGGAAUGGAUGUUGACUGACCAGUGGAAAAAAAUUUACUUGAGGGAGCUCAACAAGCUUUAAGGCUUCAGAUACCUCUCAAGUGAGGAUAACUUUUUAGCCUACAGUGGAUUCGGAAGGAUACAAAUCUAAGUUACUUUCAGAAGCUAAAAACUGGCAUUGAAUGCUAUGCUAUUUUAAUGGGUGCAUGUCUGUGCAAGAAUUAAACUGUUAAAAUAUUAAUUCAAAGGAGAAAGGGAAGGUAUAUGAUAGACUCAAUUAAGUAUAUCCCCCUAAACUGUGAUAAGUGGAAGUCUGCCAAUAUUGCAGUGAGCAUUUGAGCACUUCCCUCUAGACAUGAGACUACUGAUCUGUGCCAGUUCUACUUUAUAAAUGUUGUUUUGAAGUUUCGUUGUAUUUGAACAUCAUUGCAAUAUAUUAUUCCUAAGCUAAGUUCUCCUGAGGUCCUAAGAAAGAUUUUGCAGACAAUAUAGCUGCAAUUAGUCUCAAGACUCUCUUCAUUUUACCAAGUAUGAAACAUUCCACUACAUUUCUGACAAUCCUCAUUUCCACUGGUUUCAAAUGGAAGCGAACAUUCACAUCUCCCUACAGAAUGUCAUUAAUUGUAGAAACCAUUUACCUAUUCAUUGUAUGUUCAGUAUAAUCAUAGCUCACUCUUCGAGCAACUGAGGAUUGUGUGUAUGAUGAUCCCAAUUUAUUUUAUUUAUUAUUAAAUUUAGAUCCUGGUUUUCUUCAAAACACUAAAUUAAUUUUAUCUUCCUGCUAACUUUGGAUACAAUGAAUGUAACAAGGACAAGUAUCCCACACUUCUUUCUCCUUUAUAUCACUAUAAACUCUGAAAAAUUCCCUCCAUAUUAUGAGCAGUGAAAUUUUAGGAUGGUUUUGUAUUCCAAAAAAGAGGGAAACACAAAACCAAGACAUUCCUUUCCCCCAAGAUAUAGUAGUCAGAACUCUGUAGAAUUACCUAUUGCGAAAGAUGACUUGGGAAUACAGUAUUUUUGCACAUAACAGUUGUCAUAAAUUGAUUUCAACCUUUUGCAAUAAUGAUUUGUGGUCCCCCUCAUUUAUGGUGGUUGCUCUGAUAUUCUUUUACCUUCACUAGCAAAUUUUUGUUUUAUACUUAGGCAGAUACUUGACAAUCUGGUCUGCAUCUAAAAGGGAUCUACCAAGCAGAAAAACUUGACUACAAGUUUGCUUUUAACCAAAGUCAUUAAACUCAAAUCAGUCUUCAAACCAAAGGAAUACUAUCAGACCUAAAAGCAUAAAUCGGUCAUCAAGAUAUUUGUAAAAAUGUGUUAAGAGUCUGGCUCAUUAGUUUGACCCAUAUAUUUAUGGGAGGUGUCAUCACUGCUGCACAAAAAAACCAAUAAAAAAACCCAAAAAACAAAAACCUCUGUUUACAUAAA